rnacentral:rRNA from 1 species
UACGUAGGGCGCAAGCGUUGUCCGGAAUUAUUGGGCGUAAAGAGCUCGUAGGCGGCUUGUCGCGUCGGCCGUGAAAACUUGGGGCUUAACCCCAAGCCUGCGGUCGAUACGGGCAGACUUGAGUUCGGCAGGGGAGACUGGAAUUCCUGGUGUAGCGGUGAAAUGCGCAGAUAUCAGGAGGAACACCGGUGGCGAAGGCAGAUCUCUGGGCCGUAACUGACGCUGAGGAGCGAAAGCGUGGGGAGCGAACAGG